rnacentral:rRNA from 1 species
UACAGAGGGUGCGAGCGUUAAUCGGAAUUACUGGGCGUAAAGCGCGCGUAGGCGGCUUUGCAAGUCGGGUGUGAAAUCCCCAGGCUUAACCUGGGAACUGCAUUCGAGACUGCAUUGCUAGAGUAUGGGAGAGGGAAGUGGAAUUUCCGGUGUAGCGGUGAAAUGCGUAGAUAUCGGGAGGAACACCCGUAGCGAAGGCGGCACUCUGGGCCGGAACUGACGCUGAGGAGCGAAAGCGUGGGGAGCAAACAGG